rnacentral:tRNA from 2 species
GCCGGAAUAGCUCAGUCGGUAGAGC